CACAAGAUCGUUUCCUGAUCCGUAAACUCUCGGGGUCCGGUCUAAAGCGAUGUUACAGUUCUUAUACAUUACGCAUUGCUAUUCUUAAGAGCAACAACUUUUUUUUAAAAAUGAUUUCUUUAUUAUCUCAAAUUAAGAACAAUAAUGUUUAUAUGAUUUCUUUAUUAUCUGAGCUAUGAAAUUUGAUAUUAUUGAUAAUGAAGUGAUUAUGAAAAUAUUUCAAGAGAUGAAUGAUUGUGAAUGUAUUGGAAUAACAUAUAUGAGUUAUUACUAAAGACUUUGUAUUAUUAGAUAAAUUUAUCUUGUUUUGCGAUGAUUCUAUUAUUUGAGGUUGACCCUCCUUGAUUAAUUUUCUGGCUCUGCCCUUGCUGAUAGGUCCCAAUCACAAGUGGUUCUGUUCCUGUGGAACCAUACCAAGGGAGGAAACUCAAAGAGAACCUUCUUCUGCUGUGUAGUUUGGAUAACGGGUGCUUGUUUAUAGAAAAAUAUUCUCUCUUCCGCUCAAUAUAUUAUUUGAGAAUAUCAUGGUACGGGUAAUGCGUUUCCUCCUCAAAUUGAAUAUAUAGAAAACGGAGAACAAAAUAUGGAUUAGAGAUGAGAAUAUACCAACUUUUCGACACACACUUGGAGAAACGACAGGCUUGCUGCGAUUCUAAUUUGGGUAUAAUUAGUAUGACAUUUUCAUUAAUUUUCUUUUCAUUUAUUUCCGUUUGUUUUUUAUUUAAUUUUUUGGUUUUAAAAAGAUGAUUGAUACAUGCUGUAAGAAGCAAAGCGAGAAGAAGUUCACUAGCAAUGUUGUUUUGUCCACUAGAGGGAAGAAUUUUUUGGUUACGCUACGUUACUGUUACUUGUUUUGUUCACUAAUAUCAAAUUAG
rnacentral:lncRNA from 1 species